UUUACUGGCCCGGCCGGUCCUUAUUUCCGACCCGACAAUUGGCGAGCCAGCCAGGAGAUUGAGUCCAGAGGCCGAGAGUUUCUGACCGGGACGGACAGCCUGUAUCUGAGACACGUGGCCACAUAGAAAAGGCAUGAAGGCCGUCCAAAUUCCAAAGUUUCCAGAGAGUAAGUGUUUGCUCGCAGUGAGUGUGCGAUGGCUGUCCUGGGAGGCACACAGCAGGUGAAAUUAAAUGGUAAAGAGCAGAAAAAAGAAAUAUUAGCUGCAAAGGUGGUCAAAGGAGGGAGCUGUGGCAACAACAUAUGUGGUAACAGCAAAACUAAGUAGUUAAAGAUAAAAUAAAAGACGUCAGAUAAGAGAUAGAGAAAGCUUAGAAUGAAGGGAAAAUAUGGAGAAACAGUUUGACCAACAGUUAGAUAAUAUUGACAUACUAUAUAGCCUUUAGUGAAGGAAAAGUAGUCACAGAGACAGAAUAAUGAAAGACCCCAUCCUGUUAGAUAAGGUCUAAAUAGAUAUACCCCCAGAUGAAGAAACGUAUACAGCAAGUGGAAGAAAGAUAUAAGUAAGUGCAGUCAAGGGCCAGUACAGGCAGAAGAAGAAGAAAAAAGAAUUAGGGUCUUUAAAGGGUUGAGUUCAGAUAUAAAGGAGAGAUGGAAAAAGAGAGGCUAAUUAGAUAGGGAGGAGACGAGAGCUAGAUAUGAAUAGAAAGAAUAACAACUCCCAAACAAAGUGAAAAGUUCGUCAUAGCACAGAUCUCAGAAAGACAAAAGAUCUGCCUACAGACCAAGAUACCUGCAGAGCACAACAAACCAUGAGACAUGACGACAGCGAGACAGAGCUACAGUGGACAAGAUGGCAGCUCUGAAGUUUCAUGAAGAAGGCGAGAGAGCAGCUUCAAAAUGGACACAGCAGAAUCUGACUGUGAGGAAGAAAGGGAGGGCCACAAACGAACAGUGAUACAGGAGGCGUUCCACAGAGAGGCGUGCCAACCUGAUGCAUCACAGGCCCAAGCCCACCUCCACUGACGUCAGCAUCUUCCCAACGCUGAGGACAUAGCGAGUCAGACCACAUCUACCAUCUACAGUCGAAUCAUAAAGAGGACAACACCACCUUAAAGACUGUGAACCUAACAGCACAAAGUUUAAAAGGUCAAGAAGGCUUCACUGUGAAAAUGAACUUCAGCCAAAAUGCUCUCACAUGUGACCGAGUGCUGACAGAGACAUCACCAAGGAAGAGCUCUCUGUCUCACCAUGAUCAACAUUACAAAUGGUCAGACUGUCAGAGGCCUUGAAAACUGCAACAUCUACCGAAAAAGAACUGUUUGAAGACCUCACAAGAGUUUGGGAGUAGGAGUGUUGAUAAUUUGUAGGAGAAGAAAAAAUAGAAA